GUAGGGAAUAUUGGUCAAUGGGCGGAAGCCUGAACCAGCCAUGCCGCGUGCAGGACGACGGCCCUACGGGUUGUAAACUGCUUUUGCCCGGGAAUAACCCCCCGCUCUUGAGCGGGGCUGAACGUACCGGGAGAAUAAGGAUCGGCUAACUCCGUGCCAGCAGCCGCGGUAAUACGGAGGAUCCGAGCGUUAUCCGGAUUUAUUGGGUUUAAAGGGUGCGCAGGCGGCCUGUUAAGUCAGGGGUGAAAUACGGCAGCUCAACUGUGGCAGUGACCUUGAUACUGACGGGCUUGAAUACCGGUGAAGGCGGCGGAAUGAGACAAGUAGCGGUGAAAUGCAUAGAUAUGUCUCAGAACCCCGAUUGCGAAGGCAGCUGCCUAACCGGCGAUUGACGCUGAUGCACGAAAGCGUGGGGAUCGAACAGGAUUAGAAACCCCUGUAGUCC
rnacentral:rRNA from 1 species